UACGUAGGUGGCAAGCGUUAUCCGGAAUUAUUGGGCGUAAAGCGCGCGCAGGUGGUUCUUUAAGUCUGAUGUGAAAGCCCCCGGCUCAACCGGGGAGGGUCAUUGGAAACUGGGGAACUUGAGUAUAGAAGAGGAAAGUGGAAUUCCACGUGUAGCGGUGAAAUGCGUAGAUAUCUGGAGGAACACCGGUGGCGAAGGCGGCAUCCUGGACCGGUAUUGACGCUGAGGCGCGAAAGCCAGGGGAGCAAAGCGGG
rnacentral:rRNA from 1 species